rnacentral:rRNA from 1 species
AGGGAAUCUUCCCAAUGGGCGCAAGCCUGUACGGAUUCAACGCCGCGUGAUUGAUUGAAGGUCUUCGGUUCUGAAACUCUGUUAUUAGGGAAGAACAUGUGUGUAAGUAACUGUGCACAUCGUGACGGUACCUAGAUCAGAAAGCCACGGCUAACUACGUGCCAGCAGCCGCGGUAAUACGUAGGUGGCAAGCGUUAUCCGGAAUUAUUGGGCGUAAAGCGCGCGUAGUCGGUUUUUUAAGUCUGAUGUGAAAGCCCACGGCUCAACCGUGGAGGGUCAUUGGAAACUGGAAAACUUGAGUGCAGAAGAGGAAAGUGGAAUUCCAUGUGUAGCGGUGAAAUGCGCAGAGAUAUGGAGGAACACCAGUGGCGAAGGCGACUUUCUGGUCUGUAACUGACGCUGAUGUGCGAAAGCGUGGGGAUCAAACAGGAUUAGAUACCCUGGUAGUCCACGCCGUAAACGAUGAGUGCUAAGUGUUAGGGGGUUUCCGCCCCUUAGUGCUGCAGCUUACGCAUUAAGCACUCCGCCUGUGGGGAGUACGACCGGCAAGGUUG